rnacentral:lncRNA from 1 species
GCAAGCAUGCCAGGCAUUUCCUGACCGAGGGACCAAGACUGCCUUUCUCCUUCGGAGAUCCCCGAUCCCUACCAACCCAGAGAGAAAUGCCCCAGGAAAGUGAGAAAGGCCUGGCAGCGGGCAUCCUAGGAACAGCUGCAGUUGGGAGCAUUCUUAUGACUAACACAAAAAACAGAGCUAAACAUGUUCUCUGGACACAAGAAAAAAAUGCAUCAAUUUCAGUGUUAAAUUAAUGACCACUGACCUCUAUGGCUUUGCUGGACAGAGGAGAACAUCAAGGCCCAACAGAGGUGAGUGGCCGGCUAGGGCACUCAGUGGCAGCAGAAAUGGUCCAGGAACACAGGCCUUUGGAAUCUGUCCUUACCAUGUCAGGGUGUGGCAGACACAUUCCAGGGUGACCCUCAGGGAAUCACACCCUGUGUGGUCCCCUUACCUUGAGAGUGAGCAGGGCCUGGAACGUGCUUUUGAACAACAGAAAGUGGCAAAGCGAGGGGCAGCUCCUGUGGGCACAUUCCAUUACGUUAACUCCAUCUCAGCAGGCCAGAGUGAGGAGAUCUCCUGCCAGCCUUGAGGAAGGAAAUACCCACGUCGUGAAAUGCCCUCAGAUGGGGCCACACAGCAGGGGACAAAGGCAGCUCCCAGGGGACAGUCAGUCAUGAAAACAGACCCUCAGCCCUGCAACCACAGGAAAUACAUUCUGCCAACAGCGUGGAUGAACGCAAAGCAGACUCUGCCCCAGUUGGGCCUGCAGAUGAGAAUGCAGCUCAGCAAACACCUCAAAUACAGCUUCGGGAGACCCUGAGCACAGACCAGCUAAGCUGUGCCUGGAUGCCUGACCCACAGAAAUGGCAAGAUCAUAAAUG